rnacentral:rRNA from 1 species
CCUACGGGGGGCAGCAGUGGGGAAUAUUGCGCAAUGGGGGCAACCCUGACGCAGCCAUGCCGCGUGAAUGAAGAAGGCCUUCGGGUUGUAAAGUUCUUUCGGUAUUGAGGAAGGUUGUUGUGUUAAUAGCACGACAAAUUGACGUUAAAUACAGAAGAAGCACCGGCUAACUCCGUGCCAGCAGCCGCGGUAAUACGGAGGGUGCGAGCGUUAAUCGGAAUAACUGGGCGUAAAGGGCACGCAGGCGGACUUUUAAGUGAGGUGUGAAAUCCCCGGGCUUAACCUGGGAAUUGCAUUUCAGACUGGGAGUCUAGAGUACUUUAGGGAGGGGUAGAAUUCCACGUGUAGCGGUGAAAUGCGUAGAGAUGUGGAGGAAUACCGAAGGCGAAGGCAGCCCCUUGGGAAUGUACUGACGCUCAUGUGCGAAAGCGUGGGGAGCAAACAGGAUUAGAUACCCGGGUAGUC